CACGUAGGGCGCAAGCGUUGUCCGGAAUUAUUGGGCGUAAAGAGCUCGUAGGCGGUCUGUUGCGUCUGCUGUGAAAACUCGGGGCUUAACCCCGAGCCUGCAGUGGAUACGGGCAGACUAGAGGUAGGUAGGGGAGAAUGGAAUUCCCGGUGUAGCGGUGAAAUGCGCAGAUAUCGGGAGGAACACCGGUGGCGAAGGCGGUUCUCUGGGGCCUUACCUGACGCUGAGGAGCGAAAGCGUGGGGGAGCGAACAGGG
rnacentral:rRNA from 1 species